UACGUAGGGUGCAAGCGUUAAUCGGAAUUACUGGGCGUAAAGCGUGCGCAGGCGGUUUUGUAAGACUGUCGUGAAAUCCUCGGGCUCAACCUGGGAAUGGCGAUGGUGACUGCAAGGCUAGAGUUUGGCAGAGGGGGGUAGAAUUCCACGUGUAGCAGUGAAAUGCGUAGAUAUGUGGAGGAACACCGAUGGCGAAGGCAGCCCCCUGGGUCAAAACUGACGCUCAUGCACGAAAGCGUGGGGAGCAAACAGG
rnacentral:rRNA from 1 species